rnacentral:rRNA from 1 species
GAUGAACGCUGGCGGCGUGCCUAAUACAUGCAAGUCGAGCGAACAGACGAGGAGCUUGCUCCUCUGACGUUAGCGGCGGACGGGUGAGUAACACGUGGAUAACCUACCUAUAAGACUGGGAUAACUUCGGGAAACCGGAGCUAAUACCGAUAAUAUAUUGAACCGCAUGGUUCAAUAGGGAAAGACGGUUUUGCUGUCCCUUAUAGAUGGAUCCGCGCCGCAUUAGCUAGUUGGUAAGGUAACGGCUUACCAAGGCAACGAUGCGUAGCCGACCUGAGAGGGUGAUCGACCACACUGGAACUGAGCCACGGUCCAGACUCCUACGGGGGGCAGCAGUAGGGAAUCUUCCGCAAGGGACGAAAGCCUGACGGAGCAACGCCGCGUGAGUGAUGAAGGUCUGCGGAUCGUAAAACUCUGUUAUUAGGGAAGAACAAAUGUGUAAGUAACUAUGCACGUCUUGACGGUACCUAAUCAGAAAGCCACGGCUAACUACGUG